UCAUUCAAAAAAUGUGAAUAUUUCUAUAGCAUUUACUAUAUGAAGAACGCUGUUCUAAGUACUUUACAAACAUCACCCUCUUUGGUCUCCCAACAACCUUUUCCAGGGAUGAUGGCAUGGACGUCUUUGGAGACCAUUAUUUGAACUACCAAAGCACUCAUCUUUUGAAGUCGCACAGCCACCUGAGGGAAUGCAAGACAGGCAUUUACAGAUAUUGGCGAGGAUUUAAAAUUCCUGGAGCUUUCAUACAUUGUUGGUUGGAGCAAACACUUUGAAAAACAGGGAGGCAUGCUGGAGAACAGUGUCAAGUGGAAGGUGAUAUUUGAACAGCGAAAUAACUUUAACAACAGGUACCAUGUGUUGCUGUAAGCCAUUUGUGCGUUUGCCCUGUGCCAUAUACAGCAAGCAGCCUUAUGCGUAGAAGGUGAUGGAAUGUCCACUUUAAAGGUUAGGCAACAGAGAUUCAGAAAUUCAAAUGAUAUUGGACAGUUAGUGAGUGGUAUAUAUUGGAUUGAAAACAAGGAUUUUGACUUCAAAAUUUGGAAAUUUAAGCCCCACACUACUACCUUCAAGCAGCACAAGUACAUAGAUAUAAUAAACUUUGGGCUUUGAUCAUUCUA